ACGUUUGCGUCUAACGGGGCUCGUGCAUACAGUGAAAGAGUGUCGCGCGCAUAUCGCAGAGGGCACGCGCUAUAUUUGGAAUAACUUGCGCGCUCCUACAUACCAGCUCUCGCGCUGUCGACCCGUGUCAAACCUUCAAGCCACUUUAAACCGGGUCCUUACAGAAACAUCCUAAAAUAAGUCUUCUCUUGGCUUCAGCUUGGUUCCCUCUUGCGUCUAAACGGAGCGUCUUGUCUUUCAGCGCGCAUGCGCGGUGCCAGGAAACGCAAGGGAACAAACACAAAUGGACAGCACGCAGGAGGAUUGCCAUGAAAACCAUAUAAUGAACAUCACAGACAGGACUGUGACCUGUGUGUGUGUUGAGUGUCUGUUGUGUGUCACAGCACAAAAUGCAGGUCUCCUGUUUCCCGCGGAUCCUGACCCCAAUGCAAAAGCUUACAUGACCUUCAUGAAAAAACACUGUUGUUAUGAUGCUCUUCCCACCAGCUGCAAACUGGUCAUUUUUGACACCUCACUGCAGGUGAAGAAAGCCUUCUUUGCUUUAGUAGCGAACGGUCUGCGGGCUGCCCCGCUUUGGGACAACAAACUGCAGAGAUUUGUGGGUAUGCUGACAAUCACAGAUUUCAUCAACAUUCUCCAUCGGUAUUAUAGGUCACCUAUGGUUCAAAUCUAUGAAUUGGAGGAGCACAAGAUUGAGACAUGGAGAGGUGAUUCAUUUCAAAAUGUUUACCUGCAAUAUCAAGAUCAAUGUCUCAUCAGUAUCUCACCUGAUGCAAGCCUCUUUGAUGCAGUUUACUUUUUACUGAAACACAAAAUCCACAGACUGCCCGUUAUCGACCAAGCUUCUGGAAACGUCCUUCACAUACUUACCCAUAAGAGAAUCCUCAAGUUCCUUUAUUUAUUUGGAGCGUCAAUACCACAGCCACGCUUCCUACAUAUGAAAAUUAAAGAUGCGGGAAUAGGAACGUUCACAGAUAUAGCCACAGUCCCACAUACCGCCACUGUCUAUGAUGCUCUGUCUGUGUUUGUGGACCGACGAGUGUCUGCGCUCCCUGUGGUGGACGAGAACGGUAGGGUGGUUGCUCUGUACUCCAGAUUUGACGUGAUUAAUCUUGCUGCACAGAAAACGUACAAUAACUUGAGCAUGAGCAUGAAGGAGGCGGUGCGGAGGAGACAAUGUUUUGUUGAAGGAGUCAUUAAAUGUUAUCCUGACGAGAUUCUGGAAACAGUUAUUGACAGAAUAGUUAAAGCAGAGGUCCAUAGGCUGGUGCUUGUGGACAGAAAUGACGUGGUCCGGGGAAUAAUCUCUCUCUCUGACCUGCUGCAGGCCAUAGUUUUAUCUCCAGCAGGUAUUGAUGCUCUGCUUUCAUAACCUGAGAGGAUAUAUUUCCUUCUCUUCCUUCAUGUAACCAACACUAGAAUCCAGAUAUUGAACGUGGACGAAGUAUGACUGCUGCCAAGAAGGAAGAUGAAAUGAUCUGAAAUAUAUCCCCUUCAAAAUAUUUACGUGACAAAGUUUAAUUUUGUACAUAAUGUUGUCUUUGUUGCGUUUUCGGUUAGGUUUGAGUUAAACAGUGAAUGCACUUGUACAUUUUUUUAUUUUAAAUGUGAAACAUGUCUUGUGAUGACAAUAAUUACACAGAAAACAACAGUAUGUAACACUUAGGCUUUGGUUUUGAUCAAAUUGAUCUAAAUUGUGGGCUACUGUCAGAUUAUCAUGUGUUUUUGUAAUAAAUUAUUUCCUGUUUCCUCUUUUGCUUAUCCUUUACUGUUUCCCAUGAUGCAACGCGUUCAAUUUGACAUUACAUUUCCAGUGUGAUAAAUGAGA